rnacentral:rRNA from 1 species
UACGUAAGUGGCGAGCGUUAUCCGGAAUUACUGGGCGUAAAGCGUGCGUAGGCGGUUUAGUGUGUGGGAAUUGAAAGCCCGGGGCUCAACUCCGGAUCCGGUUCCCAAACUGCUAGACUCGAGAGUAUCAGAGGAGAGCGGAAUUCCCGGUGUAGCGGUAAUAUGCGUAGAUAUCGGGAGGAACACCAGUGGCGAAGGCGGCUCUCUGGGACGGUACUGACGCUGAGACGCGAAAGCGUGGGGAGCGAACAGG